rnacentral:rRNA from 1 species
UACGGGGGGGGCAAGCGUUGUUCGGAAUUACUGGGCGUAAAGGGCUCGUAGGCGGCCAACUAAGUCAGACGUGAAAUCCCUCGGCUUAACCGGGGAACUGCGUUUGAUACUGGAUGGCUUGAGUUUGGGAGAGGGAUGCGGAAUUCCAGGUGUAGCGGUGAAAUGCGUAGAUAUCUGGAGGAACACCGGUGGCGAAGGCGGCAUCCUGGACCAACACUGACGCUGAGUGAGCGAAAGCCAGGGGAGCAAACGGG